rnacentral:lncRNA from 1 species
UGGAAUCACUCAAAAAUGAUAUUUCUACAUUUAGUUAUGAAUUUCUGAACUUAAGUGUUAGUAAAUUUUCUUAUUUUUAACCUAGGUAAACGUUUACUUAAAACUGUACCAAUCCAUUAAGAAACUUGAAAUAGUUCCUUCUAGACAAUUUAAAUAGACAAAUUGAUGAUUAAUACAGAACUGGAAUCACUCAAAAAUGAUAUUUCUACAUUUAAUUAUGAAAGAGUGA